AGGGGGAUAGUUUAAAAUGGAAAAACACCGGCCAGCAUAAGCCGGAAGAUGUAGGUUCGAGCCCUGCUCCUCCAC
rnacentral:tRNA from 1 species